rnacentral:rRNA from 1 species
UUUGAAAAUAAUUUAAAGUCUAAUCUGCCCCCUGAUNAAAAUAUUAAAGGGCUGCAGUAUUUUGACUGUACAAAGGUAGCAUAAUCAUUAGUCUCUUAAUUGGUGACUUGUAUGAAAGAUUGGAUGAAAUAUAUACUGUCUCUAUUUAAUUUAUAAAAUUUAAUUUUUUAGUAAAAAAGCUAAAAUGAGUUUAAAAGACGAGAAGACCCUAUAGAGUUUAAUAAUUUAUUUAAUUAUUAUUAAUAUAUAAAUUUUAAAAUUAAGAUUAAAUAAUUUAUUUUAUUGGGGUGAUAGAAAAAUUAAAUUAACUUUUUUUUUAUUUUAUACAUUAAUUUAUGAAUAAAUGAUCUAUUAAUAAUGAUUAAAAGAAAAAAUUACCUUAGGGAUAACAGCGUAAUUUUUUUUUUUAGUUCAAAUAGAAAAAAAAGUUUGCGACCUCGAUGUUGGAUUAAGAUAAAAUUUAAAUGCAAAAGUUUAAAAUUUUGAUCUGUUCAAUCAUUAAAAUCUUA